rnacentral:rRNA from 1 species
UACGUAGGGUCCGAGCGUUGUCCGGAAUUAUUGGGCGUAAAGGGCUCGUAGGCGGUUCGUCACGUCGGGAGUGAAAACUCGGGGCUUAACCCCGAGCCUGCUUCCGAUACGGGCAGACUAGAGGUAGGCAGGGGAGAGCGGAACUCCUGGUGUAGCGGUGGAAUGCGCAGAUAUCAGGAAGAACACCGGUGGCGAAGGCGGCUCUCUGGGCCUUACCUGACGCUGAGGAGCGAAAGCGUGGGUAGCGAACAGGAUUAGAUACCCUGGUAGUCCACGCCGUAAACGUUGGGCGCUAGGUGUGGGGGACAUUCCACGUCCUCCGUGCCGCAGCUAACGCAUUAAGCGCCCCGCCUGGGGAGUACGGCCGCAAGGCUAAA